UCCGUAGGGUGCGAGCGUUAAUCGGAAUUACUGGGCGUAAAGCGUGCGCAGGCGGUUCGUCGUGUCCGAUGUGAAAGCCCCGGGCUCAACCUGGGAAUGGCAUUGGAAACGGGCGGACUCGAGUGUGGCAGAGGGGGGUGGAAUUCCGCGUGUAGCAGUGAAAUGCGUAGAGAUGCGGAGGAACACCGAUGGCGAAGGCAGCCCCCUGGGCUAACACUGACGCUCAGGCACGAAAGCGUGGGGAGCAAACAGG
rnacentral:rRNA from 1 species